rnacentral:lncRNA from 1 species
GGAAACGCUGGCCUCAUAACACAGCCCAGAGCUGGCUGCCUGCCUCCACUGCAGUGUGGCUCCUGUUAGCACAGUUCACUUCACCUUCUGCGCAUUCCUAUGAAGUCAGACACUGCGAAAGGGCUGAGAUUGUCCCCUCUUGCCAGGGAACGAGGUAGCCUGUGCUGGUUCCAUGCACACAUCUGACCAAAGAUCGCAGGGCUCGGUUCAGAGACACAGACUGUGUGUUCUUCACAGCAGAAAGCAGUAGCUCUGCAAGCUCCUGGGUUGGUCCCCACCAUCCCGAUUCCCAUGGGCCACGCAGAGGGCCAGGUGCUCGCCUGCAGCUGUGCAGGUUGCGCCGCAGGAGGGGAGCCCUGAAUUGGGAGCUGGAGCUUUCCUUGAGGUGACUUCAUGACCUGCCGUCCUCCCCUCCAUAGACAUGACCUGGAAUGUCACUCGCUGCCCAGGGGCUGAGGGAAAAGCUCUCUUGGGCUGUAACGCUGGAAGGCGAUUCCAGGGGGGUAGAGCGAGGUGUCUUUCAUGUACCAUAUUCGCCACUCCACGAGGCCCGUGGACGUAGAGGAGAGGAUCCAUCCUAUGGUGGUAAGGGCGAAGACUGAAAAUUGGCAGUCGGCACUGUUGCAGAACCAGACCAUGGUGGCAGCGCACCCAGGAAACUACAAACAAAUACAGAGCAUGGUGAGCGGGGGGACCCUGGGACCUGGGACAGCCUCCCAUGGGUGAGUAGCGCCAAGAGGGAGGUGUUGUAUUGGAGAAAGGAGACACUAGACCCUCUAGAUCUGCUGGUGGGAGUGCAGUCUGAGCAAACUUUGUGCAGGGCCGCUCCGCGAUAUUUCCCGAAAGCUUUAAAAUGCACACACCUUCAGACUGGCAGUUCCACUUCUGGGCAUUGGUGCAAAGACAUGAAUAAGGUCGGCCACAAAUAUGUAGCCACAAAGAUGGUCCUCACAGCAUUGCUUGUAAUAUUGGAAACCGGGGAACAACGUCAAGUCCAACAACAGGGCUUGGUGAAGGAAUUUAUGCUAUGUCCACGCGAUGGAGCUAUACGCCAACAUUGACAAUACAAAUGGAAUCAUACAAGGUAUAAGAGUUUUGUGUGGCUCUUUUCACAUGGCACGUUUCCAAGGGUCAUCCAUGUUGCAGCAGGUAUGAGAAGGUUGUCCCUUUUCAUUGCUGAAUGGUGUUCCAUUGUGUGGGUAGACCACAGUUUGUUCAUUCAUCAGCUUUUGGACAUUUGGUUUGGUGCCAUGUUUUGGCCAUUAUAAACUAUGCUGUCAUGAACACUUGAAUAUAAAAGUUUGUAUGGGCAUAUGUCCUUGUUUAUCUGGUGUAGAUGCCUAGGAGUGAAAUUGGUGGUUCAUAUGUUAAGUGCGCAUUUAACUUUUUGUAAAUUGCUCAACUGUUUUCCCACGUGGCUGCACCAUUUUAUAUUCCCACCAGCAAUGAUGGAGGUUCCAGUUUCUUCAUAUUUUCUCCAACAUUUGGUAUUUUUAAUGUUUUUCAUGACAGCCAUUCUAGUUGACAUUCUGUGUGACCAAAAGGGAGGUGUCCGUAAUAUUUCAAAUACAAAUUACAUGUUUCAAAAUAAUAUGUACGAUAUAAUCAUAGAUACAAAUCGAACUGAAAAUCUACAUCCUAAGCUAUUAGGAGACAUUUUUAACUGGGUUUGAGAGAUUCUGAGUUUUUUCUAAGCUAUUUGGAUUGUGAAGGGUCACACACAUAUAGAAAAGCACACAAGUGUGCAGCUCAAUGAACGAUGGUGGGGUGAACACCCAUGGAGCCAGCAUUUCAUUUCAGAUACACAAUAUUCCCACUUCCUUGCUUGCUUUCAUAGUUUUGUCAUCUCAGCAUGCAUCCCCACACAUCUUACUUCUAUUUUGCCUGUUUUUCAAAAUGGGGAUCAUACGGUCAAUGCUUUUGUGUGACUGGUUUCUUUCACGCAAUGUUGUGUCCAUUUAUGACACUCAGAUUGUAAUUUUUUAAAGGUGCCUGGCUGUUCAGUAUUUUCAAAUAUUUCUGCAAUAAGCAUGAUUAUUUAAAACAAGAAAACAAUAAAAAAUAUUUCACAAAACAGUUGUCUCGGG